UUGUUACAGGUUGAAAAAUGUAAUGGGCCAUUUGGAUGGUUCCUAAGGGUUUCCUCGGCUUUCCAUAUGUUAGUUCCUUUCCAUAUAUCUGCUUUCAGUUGAUGACUUGCUAUGGUGUCUAGUUUAUCCAUUAGUGGUAUGUUUAAAAUUGUGUUUAUAGGAAUUGGAAAUGUGGAACAUUAAUCAAUAUAAAUGUAUUGUUUGAUAUAAACAAGAGUAUAACUGGAACUAGAAAUUAGUGUUUUACAAAGAGUAUAACAGUCACCUAUUGACUAGAUAAUAGAUAUGUUCUACUUAAUAAUGAAGUUGUUGGUUCUGCACUGAUUUACAAUUUUUUUUAAUUCUGGUUUUUGCUAAUGUAGGUGAUGAAGCCGAUGAUGCAGACUGGAACUUUGUGUUAUGUGAGAGUUAAAACAUUAAAUAUCAGUUCCCCUAUCUUGGCUGCUAAAAGUCCUUAUUUCUACGAGAAAAAGGUGCUCUUAUGCAGUUAUUGAAUUUUAUGUAUAGUAGUACAUUGACCAAUACUUCAGCAAGAAAUAGUCCAACCAUUGUGUGAUGCAGCAAAGCUGUUUCUUGUUAAUAAAUUCAAGGAUAUAGCCAACUAUCGAGGAGCUUAUGACCUUGCCAUUAGCUGGUAUAGAAGCAGUAAUUUCUAGUGAUGAUCUCCAGGUUGCAUCUGAAGAUGUUGCCAUUUUAUGUUUAAUUGGUUGUUUUGUUAUUUUACUUUUGAAUUUGUAUUUGAAUGAGAUUAUAGUUUAUGUAUGUAGUACUUUUAAUUUGAAUAAUAUUUUAAAGUUUACAUUAGACUAUAAUUAUAUUUUAAUGUGUUUAUUAUAUUUUAUUUAUUAUUUUAUUAUAAAACGGUUUUUUCGGUUCAACCACGGUCGAACCGAUUGAACCUAUGAACCAGUAAACCAGUAGCUAAAACAGUUCGAUGACCGGUUCGGUUCUCAGAACCUUGAUUAUUCCGUACGGACACACGAGAGGAAAGGGCUACCCUUAGAGGUGGAGCCGCCCAGGUGUAAACUUUUGAUUUGAUUUCUAUAUGAGAACUCCCUUAUUGAUUCACUUAUUAUUAUCAACUGCUAUUUUCUAGCUUAAAUUACUUUGAUAACAAUGUUUAUAUGGUCUCAUGUGGAUUAAGAUGUAUU